AGGGAUAAUAAAAGGCUGUGUACUUUCUUUGCAGUAGAAUAUGUGAACAGAUGCAGACGAUUUUUCCUGAAGACUUCAGCGGGAGAGAUUGGAAUCGGCUGCACGUUUUACUGUAGCACUAAUGAAGGUGGCGCAAUGGUGGCAGCAGGUACACAAUGCGUCAACACCAGCAUGAAAGCGGCUGAGAAGAUGGUGCAAGACGUGAAAUACAUUUGUCUACUAGGCAUCUGCAAUAAUAAGUGCACUUGUGAACCCUCAGGUCUCUCUAUUCAAUGCUGGAAAAAACACCCCUUCCAAUCAAAAGGCUACCAUCCUUACUACGGACAUGGACAUGAACAAAAUUUUGUGGAAUAAA